GAUGAACGCUGGCGGCGUGCCUAAUACAUGCAAGUCGAACGAAGCGGGGACGGGUGAGUAACACGUGGGUAACCUCCUAUAAGACUGGGGUAACUUCGGGAAACCGGAGCUAAACCGGAUGCUUAUAGCUGGAUCCGCGUUGCAUUAGCUAGUGGGUAAGGUAACGGCUUACCAAGGCAACGAUGCAUAGCAGGUCUGAGAGGAUGAUCGGCCACACUGGAACUGAGACACGGUCCAGACUCCUACGGGAGGCAGCAGUAGGGAAUCUUCCGCAAUGGGCGAAAGCCUGACGGAGCAACGCCGCGUGUGUGAUGAAGGUCUUCGGAUUGUAAAACUCUUUUAGUAGGGAAGCGGUACCUACUCAGAAAGCCCCGGCUAACUACGUGCCAGCAGCCGCAGUAAUUC
rnacentral:rRNA from 1 species